rnacentral:lncRNA from 1 species
UGUCUUAGGACUUUUCUAACUGCAUGCUCUAACUUCUGGUUUCCAAAUAGUGUGUUGGCUCUGUAGAGAAAUCAGUGCUGGAGCUGUAAGGCCAGGAACUUGCAAGGCUGUGUGCUGUAGAACAGCUGGGGCCAUGUGCUGCCCUGCGCCGUUUCCUAGCAGAAGACACAUCUGGAACAUGCAGCACAGUUUGGAAAGACUGAAUAAAGCUUGAGACAUUGAUUGCCAAGCACAGAAGUUUUUCAUCCAUCACUAUACAGCCACUGGAAGAAUUUCCCCCUCCUACUCUUGGAGUGAUUUUGAGCAUUUACAUAUGACUGUUAUAAAAAGUUUCGGAUAAGAGAAAAAUAUGUCCUGCUAUUCUUCAGAUGCUUCAAAUGUUUCCGCAGAAAUUAUGUAUUAAUUUGCAUAAAGAGAGA